rnacentral:SRP_RNA from 1 species
GCCGGGCACGGUAGCGCGUGCCUGUAGUCCCAGUUACUCCGGGGAGGCUGAGGUGGGAGGAUCGCUUGAGCCCAGGAGUUCUGGGCUGCAGUGCGCUAUGCCGAUUGGGUGUCCGCAUUAAGUUCAGCAUCAAUGUGGUGACCUCCCGGGAGCGGGGGACCACCAGGUUGCCUAAGGAGGGGUGAACCGGCCCAGGCUGGAAACGGAGCAGGUCAAAACUCCCGUGCUGAUCAGUAGUGGGGUCGCGCCUGUGAAUAGCCACUGCACUCCAGCCUGGGCAACAUAGCGAGACCCUGUCUCU